rnacentral:rRNA from 1 species
GAUGAACGCUGGCGGCGUGCCUAAUACAUGCAAGUCGAGCGAACGGACGAGAAGCUUGCUUCUCUGAUGUUAGCGGCGGACGGGUGAGUAACACGUGGAUAACCUACCUAUAAGACUGGGAUAACUUCGGGAAACCGGAGCUAAUACCGGAUAAUAUUUUGAACCGCAUGGUUCAAAAGUGAAAGACGGUCUUGCUGUCACUUAUAGAUGGAUCCGCGCUGCAUUAGCUAGUUGGUAAGGUAACGGCUUACCAAGGCAACGAUGCAUAGCCGACCUGAGAGGGUGAUCGGCCACACUGGAACUGAGACACGGUCCAGACUCCUACGGGAGGCAGCAGUAAGGAAUCUUCCGCAAUGGGCGAAAGCCUGACGGAGCAACGCCGCGUGAGUGAUGAAGGUCUUCGGAUCGUAAAACUCUGUUAUUAGGGAAGAACAUAUGUGUAAGUAACUGUGCACAUCUUGACGGUACCUAAUCAGAAAGCCACGGCUAACUACGUG